rnacentral:rRNA from 1 species
CCUACGGGUGGCAGCAGUGAGGAAUAUUGGACAAUGGGCGGAAGCCUGAACCAGCCAAGUAGCGUGCAGGAUGACGGCCCUACGGGUUGUAAACUGCUUUUAUACGGGAAUAACGCGCCUUACGUGUAGGGCUUUGCAUGUACCGUAUGAAUAAGGACCGGCUAAUUCCGUGCCAGCAGCCGCGGUAAUGCGGUAGGUCCGGUCGUUAUCCGGAUUUAUUGGGUUAAAAGGGUGCGAAGGCGGCGAGUUCAGUCAGCGGUAAAAUUUCGGGGCUCAACCCCGACGAGCCGUUGAAACUGGCUUGCUAGAGUGGGCGAGAGGUAUGCGGAAUGCGUGGUGUAGCGGUGAAAUGCAUAGAUAUCACGAAGAACUCCGAUUGCGAAGGCAGCAUACCGGCGCUAAACUGACGCUCAUGCACGAAAGUGUGGGUAUCGAACAGGAUUAGAUACCCUGGUAGUC